rnacentral:rRNA from 1 species
AACGAACGCUGGCGGCAUGCCUAACACAUGCAAGUCGAACGAGACCUUCGGGACUAGUGGCGCACGGGUGCGUAACGCGUGGGAAUCUACCCUCAGGUUCGGAAUAACUCAGAGAAAUUUGUGCUAAUACCGGAUGAUGACGUAAGCCCAAAGAUUUAUCGCCUUAGGAUGAGCCCGCGUAGGAUUAGGUAGUUGGUGAGGUAAAGGCUCACCAAGCCGACGAUCCUUAGCUGGUCUGAGAGGAAGAUCAGCCACACUGGGACUGAGACACGGCCCAGACUCCUACGGGAGGCAGCAGUGGGGAAUAGUGGACAAUGGGCGAAAGCCUGAUCCAGCAAUGCCGCGUGAGUGAUGAAGGCCUUAGGGUUGUAAAGCUCUUUUACCCGGGAUGAUAAUGACAGUACCGGGAGAAUAAGCUCCGGCUAACUCCGUG